rnacentral:rRNA from 1 species
GACGAACGCUGGCGGCGUGCUUAACACAUGCAAGUCGAACGGUAAGGCCCUUCGGGGUACACGAGUGGCGAACGGGUGAGUAACACGUGGGUGAUCUGCCCUGCACUUCGGGAUAAGCCUGGGAAACUGGGUCUAAUACCGGCUAAGACCACUGCCUGCAUGGGUGGUGGUGGGAAGCUUUUGCGGUGUGGGAUGGGCCCGCGGCCUAUCAGCUUGUUGGUGGGGUGAUGGCCUACCAAGGCGACGACGGGUAACCGGCCUGAGAGGGUGACCGGCCACACUGGGACUGAGAUACGGCCCAGACUCCUACGGGAGGCAGCAGUGGGGAAUAUUGCACAAUGGGCGCAAGCCUGAUGCAGCGACGCCGCGUGAGGGAUGACGGCCUUCGGGUUGUAAACCUCUUUCAGCACCGACGAAGCGCAAGUGACGGUAGGUGCAGAAGAAGGACCGGCCAACUACGUGCCAGCAGCCGCAGUAA